rnacentral:rRNA from 1 species
AGGCAACCUGCCUGCAAGCCUGGGAUAACUGCGGGAAACCACAGCUAAUACCGGAUACGCAGUUGAGAUGCAUAUCUUAACUGGGAAAGGCGGAGCAAUCUGUCGCUUGUAGAUGGGCCUGCGGCGCAUUAGCUAGUUGGUGAGGUAACGGCUCACCAAGGCGACGAUGCGUAGCCGACCUGAGAGGGUGAUCGGCCACACUGGGACUGAGACACGGCCCAGACUCCUACGGGAGGCAGCAGUAGGGAAUCUUCCGCAAUGGACGCAAGUCUGACGGAGCAACGCCGCGUGAGUGAGGAAGGCCUUCGGGUCGUAAAGCUCUGUUGCCAGGGAAGAAUGUCGAGGAGAGUAACUGCUCUUCGAAUGACGGUACCUGAGAAGAAAGCCCCGGCUAACUACGUGCCAGCAGCCGCGGUAAUACGUAGGGGGCAAGCGUUGUCCGGAAUUAUUGGGCGUAAAGCGCGCGCAGGCGGCUUUGUAAGUCUGGUGUUUAAACCCGAAGCUCAACUUCGGGUCGCAUCGGAAACUGCAAGGCUUGAGUGCAGAAGAGGAAAGUGGAAUUCCACGU